rnacentral:rRNA from 1 species
AAACUAGGAUUAGAUACCCUUUUAUUUAUUUUUAAAAUUUUUUAUUUAAUAAAUAUUUUUUAAUAAAAAAUUAAUUAAAAUGGCAGUAUAUUAUAAAAUUAGAGGAUUUUGUUAUAUAAUAGAUAUUACACUUUAAAAUUUAUUUAAUUUUUUUGUUAUAUAUUGUAUAUUGUUGUAUUAAACUGAUAUUUAAAAAUUAUUAGUAUUUUUUUUAAAAAAAAUAAAUUCAAAUCAACAUACAUGUCAUAAUUAAAAUUUAAAUGAAAUACAAUUAAAUCUAUUAAUGAAUAAUAAAUUGUAAAAUUUAUUUAAAAUUGGAUUUAAUAGUAAAAAUUUAAUAAAUUUUUUAUUUGAAUUAAAUUAAUAUAUGUACAUAUUGCCCGUCGUUUUUAAUU